AAUUCUACAUGGUAUGGAUAGCAGAGCUCAACAUGGAUAAAAUUAAGUUUCCAAAAGUACCCCUAACAACCCUCCAAGGCUGACUAGAAGAUCGCCUGCGAUUCCAAGCUCUGCUCCCUCCUUGACGAGUAUGGCCAGGUCCUUAUUGUCGCCGCCGACAACGUCGGCUCCAAGCAGCUCCAGAACAUCCGCGAGAGGCUGCGCGGAGACUCCGUCGUUCUGAAGGGGAAGAACACGAUGAUGAAAAGGUUCGUCAGUAUCCAUUCGGAGAAGACGGGCAACAGUGCCUACCUCAACCUCGUCCCCCUCUGUGAGCAACGUCGGUCUGAUUUUCACAAAGGGUGAUUUGAAGUCAGUGAAGAGGUUGGCAAGUACAAGGAAACCGUGGUUAAGAAUUUGGUGUUCAGUGCAGAAAGAACCUCAUUUGAGGGUACUUUUGAUAAGGCCUGCGGUUUGCAUCCUCAAGGACCAUUCGCAAAAGCAUAUGGAAUGUCCGGGGAGUGCAUCCGGAGGAGGAGCAUCAUCGGCUAUGCCAACAUUUGGCAACAGCUGGGUUGAAAAUCGUAAUGAUUUGGUGACAGCUUUGAAUUUGUUUCUCUCUCCCUCUAGUUUUGCUACUUUCAGAGCGCCUGCUGCUUGCUUACAUGUACCUAUAUCCAUUUUUCCGACUAAUGUACUGUGUUUAAUUAAUCAGAGACAUCCAAACCAUCUUUUUUAUUUAUUUAUUUAUUUUAUUUGUACA